rnacentral:rRNA from 1 species
UACGUAGGGGGCGAGCGUUGUCCGGAUUUAUUGGGCGUAAAACGCUUGUAGGCGGCCACGCCAAGUCGGAUGUGAAAUCUCCCGGCUUAGCUGGGAGGGGUCAUCCGAUACUGGCGGGCUCGAGGCAGGUAGGGGGAAGCGGAAUUCCCGGUGUAGUGGUGGAAUGCGUAGAUAUCGGGAGGAACACCAGUGGCGAAGGCGGCUUCCUGGACCUGUUCUGACGCUGAGGAGCGAAAGCGUGGGGAGCGAUCCGG